GAGAUCAGCAGACGCGUUGAUGCCAGAUCAGAAUUUCUUCCCCGAGCGCGUGGUCAACACGCGCGGCACUCUGGCACGCGCGCGCUCCUCACCGAGCGCGCGAUCCCAGGUCGGACCGACGCCACGAUGGUCCACGCACGCCGCGGCGACGCGGCGAUGCACGCAUGAGAGAUGCGACGGUUCAGAGAUGGAGAGAUAGGUGCGUCGCGACGCGCGUCUCCUCGCGCAUUCGUUCUCGUCUGACGCAACGACCGAAUUUCAACCCUAAAUCUCCCCCGCGGCCCCUCCGCCCUCCUCUCCCGCGUCGCAGCUAGCGUCUAGUACGCCUCGCCCUCGUGGUCUCGCGUUCGCGGACCCGAGUUCACCCCGAACGCCGCCCUUUCACCCUGCCGCCGAUUUUGGCGCGCGUGUCUCCGAUGGUUUCACUCAGAUCUCGCGCGAUCGAAUUUCGUUCCCGAGUCGAGAAUUACUCCUUCGAGCGUUGGUUGGUUCCCGCCGCCUCGCCACAAGACGACAGUGUUGUUCCCAGUGUCACGUCCACACAGGAGUUCACUCACGCGUUCACACCGAUGGAAACAUCUGGCACUCUCACACGGCUGUAAGACGCGACGCGCCGCGUCCGCGCGUGCUCAGACUCAAGAUCACUAGACGCCGGUUCGCAUUCAAUUCGUUCCCGUCUACUUCACUCUUGCCGCGAUACGCAUCGAAUGCUUCGCUUGAUUUGAUAUCUUCCACGAUUUCAUCGCAUCACACGACUGGCGCGUUGGCUCGUUUGGAUCGCUUCACGGUGUACCCCAGGCAGGCGACGAUCAGAAUUCUCGGUAAGACCCGGCGCCGCGGCCCGGGCGCGACGCAAGACGCGACACCGCCACGUGCAGCUGCCGUGGCGAUCGCACCCCACAGGUUGUUGUUCUGGUGUCGCCUACCCUUCGGGGAGGCGACACCAGACACUCCGACAUACCCCUUCAGGUUGUUGAGCCCCCUUCGGGGAUGGCCACGCCUCAUACCCCAGGUUGUUGACCCCCCCUUACGGGGCUGGCGAGAUCGUAUCACUCCGGAACAUCAAGGUGCACGACGAUUCUUUCCACGUUAUCACCACGAUUACUCCACCAGGUGCACUUCUACUGGCGACGAACCCGUGCGAGAAGAAAUAUCCGUGCGACGAAUCCGCUUCGACGACGACGACGUAAGUCCACGACACAUUUGCGUUAUCACCACGAUUACUCCAUCAGGUGCACGACGGCUACUCGUUCGAGAACGUCAAGAUCCGGUCACUCUGAGAUACCGACGAAAGACUCCCGACUUUAUUACGUCAAGCCUCCCUCCGCGGGACGGUCACGAGCUCAUCAGCCGAUUACGGUAUUUUACUACUUCAGCACUGCGUCGUUAUUAGGCUUCUUCAUAGGCCCGACCAGUCAGCUCCAGAUACAUAUAUCUUGUGUUUUCCUUGGUCAUCAUCCAGCGUGAAGGUUACAGCUGUGUUCAUUCUUCCGUUCAGUUUUAUCUUCGUCGGCUUCGUUCCGCUUCAGUAUUUUUCUCUUGUACCGCUCACGUGUUCAGCAGUUAUCACAUCGCGCGCGCUCAUCGCAUCAGGACAUUCGAUCACAGCGUAAAGUACUUCAUUCGUUCAUUACGUCGCACUCACGAGUUUACUGCAUUGCUUUCACUCAUCGAUCAUUUCGCUCAUUUCGCUUGAAACUUCGUCGCACGACACGUCACGGAAAAUUAUUCACUCAUCGGUCUUCACGCGCUAUCAUCACGAUACAGUUAAGAUUAGAUAUUCGAACGUUUUCUGUUUAGGUUCUUGUGCAUAGGUUUCAUUAGGAGCUUAUAUUGGUGUGUGUUGUGUUGUUGUUGUGUGUGUGUUGUUUAUACGCUGUGGGUUGGUUUGGAUGUUCCGCGGACGGGCGCGACGACGACGGUCGGUACGGUGUACUUUUUCUGCCGCUGAUUCUUCCUUUUGGAUAGUUCACGCGCGCUGCUUUUGUUUGCGUUCUGCCGGCGAUGCCUUCUGUUCCAGAUUCUGGGUGACUUUCUUCGUGUUUUUUUGCUUCCCUCACCGUUCUUUUUGCUAUGUGUUCACCACUUUCGAGUCGCGACUUUGCAUUUUUUUCAAUUUAGCGUCGUCGGGAGGUCAGUGUGAUGGUUACUUGUUUUGCCGCUAAUGUGCUUAUCAGGGUCCUAUUCUUUGGUUGGUUUCCGUUAUCCCCCGAUGAUGGCGCGCGUUUUAUACCGCGCCGGAGGGUCUCUCGUUCAUCGCGCCCGCGAACAACGGGCCGGCGGGGUUCGCAGCCCCGGCGAGAGGUGGGGAUUCGACGCGAAACGAGACGCGCUUCGGAAGGAUGGAUUGGAUCGGCGGAGGGAUAAAAACGAAACGUCGCGAUUCGACGCCGCGGCGGCGACCGCGCGCGCGGAGGGGCGCGGCGUUCGAGCCUAGCAGAUCGAUCUGUGUGCUAUCGACGAUCGAUUCAUCCGUUCUAAUCUACGACUCGAUCGCGCCUCGGCGUUCCCCCGCGCGCGCGGAUGACGCCGUCUUCGCGCGAACGAAUUCGCUUUUUCCCGCCGCGCCCUUCCGCGUCUGCUAG
rnacentral:lncRNA from 1 species